rnacentral:lncRNA from 1 species
AUGUGUUUUUUAGGCUCCUCUCUCUCACUCGGCACCCAGCCUUUUGAAGACAGUGCCGUAAUGCAGGUUCCAGGAACUGCAUCUCAGACAGACCUGGCAUCCAUUCCUGGUCCCCACCCUCUACAUCAAAGAGCAAGAUCUAGCAGUGCCUUCAGAGCCCUGCGGAGACAGCAAGCAAUAAAGAUGGACUCAGUUGAUUCCACAAACGCAGACUCCAGAGACACCUUACACAUCCCGAGCAAGCCCUGCUCCAUUGAUAAUCUUCAUCUCAAAGUACCCAGCAUUCCCCUCACUGGUGGAUCUGCUCCCUGUUCGCCCCAGGCCUCCCCCCCUCCUCCCCUCCGCAACCGGACAGCGAGCGUACAAACAAACAGACACGUGUACAGUCAGCGCAGCAUCCCUGGUCAACAGCCCGAAUACAAGACACAAUCUAUAAAAGCUCUUGAAAUAGCACGUGCACAAACCAAACCGCAUGAUUUGGAUGAGGUGAUCAAACUCAACAUGAACGUUACCCAAAGAAGAAACUCUCAGCAUGUGGCAAGUAGCCAUAAAAUGUCCCCUUAUGAACCGCCCUUCUGUUCUGAUGCCCAGUCUCAGGACUCAUUGCACAGUGGGGCAGCCCACCAACCAGUUACCAGCGCUCAAAGUCUACGGAAGUACAACAGUAUGGAAAAUAAUGUCUUCCUGUCUCAACUCCAUAUCUCUCGGCGUCACUCGACGCACGGGGAAGAAUUACUGCUUCAGCAGCAGCCAAUUUUACCAUCACCUGGACCUUCACCAAAGCCCAAGAAGGAGAAAAUGAGCCCGCCGUGCAUCUCUAUUGACCCUCCCACUGACGUGAAUCUUCAGGAGCGCAGCACAGUCCUAAGACGGCGGACACCGUCCUUCGAUUCCACACUACCACGGGAGUCCAUAGAACUUCCUGAUAUGCAGGAUGAACCUCUUUUGCAAAGUAAUUUGCCCCUCCCACAAUUUUCUUUUGACCAAUCGGAUGUAAGUUCGCUGAGCAGCCAGUCAGAACUGCUUUUAGAUAGUGACCAGUCGACACACUCCUUUCCUCCUGAGGCCCGUUCUGGGGUCGUGGGAAAUACAGCUCCGAGUCCUCUCAGGAGGAAGGUGUUGGUCAGAAUGGCCAGCACUAGGGAUCCAGGAAAUGAGGAUUCAGUUGCCUAG